AGCAGCCGCGGUAAUUCCAGCUCCAAUAGCGUAUAUUAAAGUUGUUGCAGUUAAAAAGCUCGUAGUUGAAUUUCGGAAUCUGUCCGUCGGUCGGGCUUCACUGUCCGUACUGGCGUGAUGGGUUUCUACCUUCUGAAUAACCGGCAUGUCAUUAAUUUGGUGCGUCGGGGAAGCAGAACUAUUACCUUGAAAAAAUUAGAGUGCUUAAAGCAGGCUAUCGCCUGAAUAGAUUAGCAUGGAAUAAUAAAAUAGGACGGCAUGGUUCUAUUUUGUUGGUUUCUAGGAUCACCGUAAUGAUUAAUAGGGAUAGUUGGGGGCAUUAGUAUUCAAUUGUCAGAGGUGAAAUUCUUGGAUUUAUUGAAGACUAACUUCUGCGAAAGCAUUUGCCAAGGAUGUUUUCAUUAAUCAAGAACGAAAGUUAGGGGAUCGAAGACGAUCAGAUACCGUCGUAGUCUUAACCAUAAACUAUGCCGACUAGGGAUCGGACGAUGUUAAUUUUUUAAUGACUCG
rnacentral:rRNA from 1 species